rnacentral:rRNA from 1 species
AACGCUAGCUACAGGCUUAACACAUGCAAGUCGAGGGGAAACGACAUCGAAAGCUUGCUUUUGAUGGGCGUCGACCGGCGCACGGGUGAGUAACGCGUAUCCAACCUGCCCACCACUUGGGGAUAACCUUGCGAAAGUAAGACUAAUACCCAAUGACGUCUCUAGAAGACAUCUGAAGGAGAUUAAAGAUUUAUCGGUGAUGGAUGGGGAUGCGUCCGAUUAGCUUGUUGGCGGGGUAACGGCCCACCAAGGCGACGAUCAGUAGGGGUUCUGAGAGGAAGGUCCCCCACAUUGGAACUGAGACACGGUCCAAACUCCUACGGGAGGCAGCAGUGAGGAAUAUUGGUCAAUGGGCGAGAGCCUGAACCAGCCAAGUAGCGUGCAGGAAGACGGCCCUAUGGGUUGUAAACUGCUUUUAUAAGGGAAUAAAGUGAGUCUCGUGAGACUUUUUGCAUGUACCUUAUGAAUAAGGACCGGCUAAUUCCGUGCCAGCAGCCGCGGUAAUACGGAAGGUCCGGGCGUUAUCCGGAUUUAUUGGGUUUAAAGGGAGCGUAGGCCGGAGAUUAAGCGUGUUGUGAAAUGUAGACGCUCAACGUCUGCACUGCAGCGCGAACUGGUCUCCUUGAGUACGCACAAAGUGGGCGGAAUUCGUGGUGUAGCGGUGAAAUGCUUAGAUAUCACGAAGAACUCCGAUUG